rnacentral:rRNA from 1 species
UACGUAGGGUGCGAGCGUUGUCCGGAAUUAUUGGGCGUAAAGAGCUUGUAGGUGGUUUGUCGCGUCUGCUGUGAAAAUCCGGGGCUCAACCCCGGACUUGCAGUGGGUACGGGCAGACUAGAGUGUGGUAGGGGAGACUGGAAUUCCUGGUGUAGCGGUGGAACGCGCAGAUAUCAGGAGGAACACCGAUGGCGAAGGCAGGUCUCUGGGCCAUUACUGACACUGAGAAGCGAAAGCAUGGGGAGCGAACAGG